GACGAACGCUGGCGGCGUGCUUAACACAUGCAAGUCGAACGGAAAGGCCCUGCUUUUGUGGGGUGCUCGUGUGGCGAACGGGUGAGUAACACGUGAGUAACCUGCCCUUGACUUUGGGAUAACUUCAGGAAACUGGGGCUAAUACCGGAUAGGAGCUCCUGCUGCAUGGUGGGGGUUGGAAAGUUUCGGCGGUUGGGGAUGGACUCGCGGCUUAUCAGCUUGUUGGUGGGGUAGUGGCUUACCAAGGCUUUGACGGGUAGCCGGCCUGAGAGGGUGACCGGCCACAUUGGGACUGAGAUACGGACCAGACUGCUACGGGAGGCAGCAGUGGGGAAUAUUGCACAAUGGGCGGACGCCUGAUGCAGAAACGCCGCGUGCGGGAUGACGGCCUUCGGGUUGUAAACCGCUUUCGCAUGUGACGAAGCGUGAGUGACGGUAAUGGGUAAAGAAGCACCGGCUAACUACGUG
rnacentral:rRNA from 1 species